AGAGUUUGAUCCUGGCUCAGGACGAACGCUGGCGGCACGCUUAACACAUGCAAGUCGAACGAGAGAAGAGGAGCUUGCUUUUCUGAUCUAGUGGCGGACGGGUGAGUAACACGUGAGCAAUCUGCCUUUCAGAGGGGGAUACCGAUUGGAAACGAUCGUUAAUACCGCAUAACAUAAUUGAACCGCAUGAUUUGAUUAUCAAAGAUUUAUCGCUGAAAGAUGAGCUCGCGUCUGAUUAGCUAGUUGGUAAGGUAACGGCUUACCAAGGCGACGAUCAGUAGCCGGACUGAGAGGUUGAUCGGCCACAUUGGGACUGAGACACGGCCCUGACUCCUACGGGAGGCAGCAGUGGGGAAUAUUGCACAAUGGAGGAAACUCUGAUGCAGCGAUGCCGCGUGAGGGAAGAAGGUUUUAGGAUUGUAAACCUCUGUCUUCAGGGACGAAAAAAGACGGUACCUGAGGAGGAAGCUCCGGCUAACUACGUGCCAGCAGCCGCGGUAAUACGUAGGGAGCGAGCGUUGUCCGGAAUUACUGGGUGUAAAGGGAGCGUAGGCGGGAUCGCAAGUCAGAUGUGAAAACUAUGGGCUUAACCCAUAAACUGCAUUUGAAACUGUGGUUCUUGAGUGAAGUAGAGGUAAGCGGAAUUCCUAGUGUAGCGGUGAAAUGCGUAGAUAUUAGGAGGAACAUCAGUGGCGAAGGCGGCUUACUGGGCUUUAACUGACGCUGAGGCUCGAAAGCGUGGGGAGCAAACAGGAUUAGAUACCCUGGUAGUCCACGCCGUAAACGAUGAUUACUAGGUGUGGGGGGACUGACCCCUUCCGUGCCGCAGCAAACGCAAUAAGUAAUCCACCUGGGGAGUACGACCGCAAGGUUGAAACUCAAAGGAAUUGACGGGGGCCCGCACAAGCAGUGGAGUAUGUGGAUUAAUUCGAAGCAACGCGAAGAACCUUACCAGGUCUUGACAUCGUAUGCAUAGCUCAGAGAUGAGUGAAAUCUCUUCGGAGACAUAUAGACAGGUGGUGCAUGGUUGUCGUCAGCCCGUGUCGUGAGAUGUUGGGUUAAGUCCCGCAACGAGCGCAACCCUUACUGUUAGUUGCUACGCAAGAGCACUCUAGCAGGACUGCCGUUGACAAAACGGAGGAAGGUGGGGAUGACGUCAAAUCAUCAUGCCCCUUAUGACCUGGGUCUCACACGUACUACAAUGGCUGUCAACGGAGGGAAGCAAAGCCGCGAGGUGGAGCGAACCCCUAAAAGCAGUCUUAGUUCGGAUUGUAGGCUGCAACCCGCCUACAUGAAGUCGGAAUUGCUAGUAAUCGCAGAUCAGCAUGCUGCGGUGAAUACGUUCCCGGGCCUUGUACACACCGCCCGUCACGCCAUGGGAGUCGGUAACACCCGAAGCCUGUAGUCUAACCGCAAGGAGGACGCAGUCGAAGGUGGGAUUGAUGACUGGGGUGAAGUCGUAACAAGGUA
rnacentral:rRNA from 1 species